UCCAAAGACCAACUACUGCCCUCCCCCUCAAAAUGUAUUUGUUUACAGCUAUUAACCAGUUGCAUACAAUGUUAUUUUUUAUUUUAGCUGCAGUGCUAAGAGUGAAGUUGGCCGCUAGAGGCCUCUACGUCCCGUCGUCCCUUGCACGGAGAUCGACCCUCGUGACCCGGCACAAACUUAAACCAAAUCUUGACUUAAAUCUUUCGUGACUGCAGGAAUUCAUAUUCUUCGUGGAAGGAAAAGCCCGGUGGGAUCUGGAGAAAAACCCAUCUACGUGACUUUACCGAAAGACCCAAAGAAUAUAAACUAAACGAACGAAACGUUUCAUUUUAUCAGCUGGAGUUUAGGGCCCGCGGGGACCAAUCCCUCCCAGUGAACCCUGGGACCCAGCCACCUUGGAGUUGGAGACCUCCACCUGGCACCCUGGGAUCCUGCACCUGGAGCUGGGACCUUCAACAGGGACCCUCCACCUGAACCCUGGCAGGGUCCUUGCCACCUGGAGACUCCACCACGAGUGAAGUUCCUGCUUCCAUUUGGACUUCGUUCUGCGAACCUGCAUUCCAUACAGAGGACACACGACAAUACAUCCACAUUAAAGCACUUACAUUGAAAUCGCACUUAGUUCCAUGCCCAUGGGUGGGAUUUGAACCUAGAAGCUCUGCAUUACCAGACUCUCACUGCGUGCGCAGAGCCACCGUGUUUCCUACAAGUGGGGUGGGUUUAGAGGCGCUCUAUGUGUCUGUACUGCACGCAUGUGGCUCAUCGUAUGAUUUGUAUAAGAAAGCGAAAAUAUUUACCGUGGGAUUUGAACCCAUGCUAGGAGAGUAAGAGGCUACAUGUCUUACCACUGCAUCGAGAAGGCUUGAUGUUCCGGUUAUUAAAUACUUGGUGAUUUAAUCAUUGCUAU